rnacentral:rRNA from 1 species
CAGUCGCCGCGGGAAUACGUAGGUGGCAAGCGUUGUCCGGAAUUAUUGGGCGUAAAGGGCUCGCAGGCGGUUUCUUAAGUCUGAUGUGAAAGCCCCCGGCUCAACCGGGGAGGGUCAUUGGAAACUGGGAAACUUGAGUGCAGAAGAGGAGAGUGGAAUUCCACGUGUAGCGGUAAAAUGCGUAGAGAUGUGGAGGAACACCAGUGGCGAAGGCGACUCUCUGGUCUGUAACUGACGCUGAGGAGCGAAAGCGUGGGGAGCGAACAGGAUUAGAGACCCCAGUAGUCCCUGUCUCUUAUAC